rnacentral:rRNA from 1 species
GACGAACGCUGGCGGCGUGCCUAAUACAUGCAAGUAGAACGCAGUUGCGCACGGGUGAGUAACGCGUAGGUAACUGCCUCAUAGCGGGGGAUAACUAUUGGAAACGAUAGCUAAUACCGCAUACUGUGAGAUGGACCUGAGUUGUAUUAGCUAGUUGGUGCGGUAAAGGCUCACCAAGGCGACGAUACAUAGCCGACAUGAGAGGGGGAUCGGCCCCACUGGGACUGGGACACGGCCCAGACUCCUAAGGUAGGCAGCAGUAGGGAAUUUUCGGAAAUGGACGGAAGUCUGAACGAGCAACGCCGCGUGAGUGAAUAAGGUUUUCGGAUUGUAAAGCUCUGUUGUUAGAGAAGCGGUACCUAACCAGAAAGGGACGGCUAACUACGUGCCAGCAGCCGCGGUAAUUC